UACGGGGGGGGCAAGCGUUGUUCGGAAUUACUGGGCGUAAAGGGCGCGUAGGCGGUCCGCUAAGUUGGAUGUGAAAACUCUGGGCUUAACCCAGAGCCUGCAUUCAAAACUGACGGGCUGGAGUUCUGGAGGGGAUAGCGGAAUUCCUGGUGUAGCGGUGAAAUGCGUAGAUAUCAGGAGGAACACCGGUGGCGAAGGCGGCUAUCUGGACAGAAACUGACGCUGAGGCGCGAAAGCCAGGGGAGCGAACGGG
rnacentral:rRNA from 1 species